ensembl:lncRNA
CUCUGGCCGGGCUCCGCGCCCCCGGCAAGGCCCUGGGAAGCAGACGUCUGGAUGAUUCCCACAGCUCCGCUGGGCCGGUGAGGACAGGGCUGUGCCCCGGGCCUUCAUCACCACCACACUCCUCAUCAUCAUCCGACGACGAGAGCUGGAUCUUCUCGAACGUGUUGGCUGCCGCUGGCGCGCGGUCGGGGGGGCGCAGGGCAGACGGUGGUGGAGGAGCGGAGGGCUGGAAGCGCUCCUGGGGGAUUGGGAUUAGGGCGUCGUGUCCGUACGUUAUGGAGAGUGUUGUGCAGCGCUGAGGCCCGGGGACGCCGGCAGCGUUGCGUUGGGGGGAGGGAUGGUGUUCCAUCAUGUCCAUCACGUUAAUAGCAGGUCUGUAGCCAGAGGGGGCGCUGCUGAGCACACAGGCUUCAGUGCCCGGUUCGUCUUCAGGGUGGAGGCUGGGGAGUACUAGAGAUUGGUAGCAGCUUUCACCCAUCGUGGCGUUGAACCAAUCGGAGACGAGCCCAGACGCUGGGACCACAGACGAAGCGUUUGGCUGUUGAUUCGUUGCAGCUGUCAGUCUGUGCUGUCUUAUCUUAUCUGGGCUGUCGAUAACAGGAGUCAGCUGUUCCCCUUCAAAACAAAUAGUUUUCACUAAUAUUCUUUCUGUUAUCUUGGUUUCCACCUGUGCAUUAAGGGAUUCUUGGCCGGUCUGGGACCACUCAAUGAGAUCCUGGGGUUCCCCUGAUGCUCCAGCUGGGGUGAGACUCUGUUCUUCUAUUUCCCCUCCAGGGGGGGAUGUGCUCAAACGACUCACACAGACUGUUAGCAGGACAGGACGGGGGGGGGGGGACCACCGCACGGCCGCUCUCACUAAUACGCGUCUCCCUCUUUGUCUCGUUAAGUGACCCGUUAGUGAAGAAGGAGAAGCACAUCUCUCCGGUGGCUGAUGGACAUGUGUCGUGCGUCUCUCCUGUGAGCUCCUCUGAGCUGCAGGCCUGAUCGGAGGAGGAGGAGGAGGAGGAGGAUGAGGAUGAGAGGAGGAGGGAAUCUCUUUUGUGUCGGGCACCGACCGGCUGCCAUCAACACUCUCUGGGAUGGGAGCGAGCACCGUGCCUUGAGCUAGCUCCCGCACCCCAGACGGUGAUAAUCCUACACCUGCAGCCCUCCGCCAGGUACUGCUUUUCUCUCCAUCCUGCCCGCCAGCUUGGCUGCAGAUGGCAGGGUCAAUUACCCUGAAAGGCCCCGUGUCAUUAGCCCCCUCCGAGCGCCCCUGAGGGAUUUGAGCCGGCAUCAAGGCCUCACCUGAUGCCUGGUCAGCCAUUUUGUGCGGCGUGCCGUGCGUACCUUCUCCGCCCCGGGGGUCAUCAAUUACCGGGCGCGGGCCGGCCUUUGUAGCAGCAGCACCAGGGGCUUUUGUGUCGAACAAGGCAUCAUGGGUAACGACCGGCGACCCGCGGCCUGCUGGCUCGGGGCUGGGGCGAGCGGAGCCCUGCUCAGCUUCUGCAUUACACAUCCGUUCAUUCUCCUCGUCUUCACAGCUGUUCUGUCCGAGCCGGUAGAGGACGGCCUCCUGGUCAGAAGGGGAUGACGUCAUGACGACAUCGGCAGCAGGCGCCGCCCCACCCGAGGCCUCCCCCUCUCCUCCGCCUCCCCCUUUCAGGGGGAGACGUUCCCUCACCCUGUGCCCGUCUCCCUCCUCAUCGCCCUCUCCUCCUCCUCCCAACGAUGGCCGACUCCUACCGUUCUGCUCCGCCUCACCGUAGACGCAUCGACCUUCGACCUCGUCGACCUCCCCAGGCAGCAGGAUCUGGAGGGGCUCCCCGGUGUGUCCCCCUCCUCCCUCGGGCCUCGCCCCUUCGCCCUCGUCAGCAGGAGGUGGGCCGGCGCCUGCGGGCCACCUGCGGCCCUCAGGGGACAGUCCCGGCCAGGUGAGCGGCGUGACACGGCGGGGUACAGCUACGGCUCCGGAGCGGAGCGACACCGGAGCCAUAGCUGACGGGCUCUCCUCCUCGCGUCGGGAGGGGGAGGCCACCUCCUCAAUACUGUCGUCUUGACGACGCUCAUCCUCCUCUGCUCCUCCACCUGCUCCGGGAGCCGAGGAGACGUCCCCGGCGAUGGCGCUCCCGGCGGCGUGUGAGGAGGCCGUGCCCGAAUCGCUCUCACUUGAGGCGGACGCGUCAGCGAAGACGACGGUGAAGUCAUCUGCCUCCCAUGUCUCUCCUCUGCGGUAUUCUACCCACUGUGGAGCGACGGUGAAGUCAUCUGCCUCACAUGUCUCUCCUCUCCUCUCCCACUGUGGACCGUCGGAGUGGCGCAGGGCAGCGUGAUCUGGGUUUACACGCGGUGACUCGGCCCGCUCUGUCCCCCAGGACGGGGGAAUCUCCGAGGGCCGGUGCCGGCCUUCGUCCCCUGUGGUGAUGCAGUCCAGGCGAGGUCUUUUUGGAUCCGAGGGCAGAACGGUAGUCCUGACGUUAUCCAUGUCUGGGAAUUCUCUCAACCUG